UUAAGAGAGAAAAUUAAUGAGCUGUGUUAAGUUUUAUUACACAAUCUUCUGAUGUGGGAAAGCUUCCCUCCAGGAACAGCUCUAUGCAUGGCUUAACUGAUUUAGGCAUGCCUGCUGCAGUAUUCUCCAGAAUGUGUUGGAGAUCAAAGUAGGGGGAGUUAUUCAGGUUUUAUAGCAAGGUAAUUAAAAAAAUAUGGGGAUUAUUACAUAUAAAUCAUACUUGCAUAAAUUUGCUGGCAAAAUAAAAUCAAAUAAACACGUUUAAAAAAAUGAGAUCAGGAAAACAUUCAGCCACAUUUUUUACCAUUACACAUGCAAAGCUAUACCCUGAAGUCUAUACAGUUGACCUCCUUGUACUGCAGAGAAUUUGGCCCAGCUCCAUCUUAGUGGUGUUCUCAUUUACUUAAAAAAGAGAAAAAAAAGAAAAAGAAACAAAAAAAGGCGUAGAAGGCAUACUGAGCCUUCCUAUGUUGUGACAAUGUGAAGAUGGGCAAUUUUCACCAGGUGCAGUAGAGAGAGGUGGUCCCAGGGAGAGCGGUGGCAAGACUGCCCUUAGUUUCUGUGGUGAUUUCGUCUAAAAGUUUAUUCGCCUGCAUGUAAACUCAUGUGCCUCAACAUUUCUCUUUUCAAUGCAAAUGUUAGUAUUCUAUGAAACAAGACACAAGAGCAGACUCUGUUCUCUCUGCUAUUGUUGCAGCGCAGAGUGUAAGCGAAGAACAGGUUUGGACCGACAACUUCCGGAAAAGGGGGUAAAAACGAAGCCCUAGAAAACUGCAAAGACUGUCUGUUCUCAGGUCCCUGAGAGAGUACAUGUAGAGUUCACACUGGAAGCUGCACAGCUGAAGCACUAGCAACAGAAAGAGCAGAACACACUUGGCUGUCAUUUUACCAGUCUUUUACCAGUACAAUUUGGACAUUGAAAACCUACGUGAAGUAUCAGAUGCCUCUCACUUGGCAGCUGGCCUCAUCACAGCCAAGUCAGGAGUAGAAAAAUCUCUGGAUGAUUUCAGCUGGCCAAAGGGUCAGGAGGCUGAGGCUGAAUAGCUGGAUGCUGCAGCAUGCUGGAAGGAGCAGGGAGCAGUGGCUACUUGGAGAUGCCUUUGCUUGAAAAUGGUCUAACUGGAAUGAAGAGAUGGCAACAGAGCCACCGAACAGAUGCAGUGACCAGUGUCACAGCAGAAGGUGAGAGCCUGACCACCAAGUGCAUCAGUAUUCCCGGAAGUUUCCGACUUGGUGAGUAUUCGAUCAAUAUACUAAGGCUGAGCUUCGAGCAGUAGUUGGAUGAGAUCUAAUCCAUACAUCUGGAAGCAGUCUGUGUAUCACAGAGAAUACGUGCAGAGGGGGCUGUGCUCAUAUUUGUCCCAUGUGUUUGCUUUUAUUUGAUUUUGUAUCUGGGUGGGAAAGGGAGAGAGGAAAUUCUCUGACAUUUUCACAUGCCUUUUUUUUUAAGUGACUCUGAGAAACAAUUCAAACAUCUUGUCUAUUCAAAUGAAAAGCUGUAAAGUGACCUGACAUCUUUUGUGGAUGCAGUCUUGGGUAGGAAGUACCACAUUCCCAUCUCUAAGAACCGCUACUGUGAUUAUCUUGCCAGCAUCUUUGGCGGUAGAAACCAAAGGUGCAGGAAUAAAUUACAGAUCCAGAGUUUCCUCUUUGCCAUGUCUUUGUGAACUGGUAGACAAGCAAGAAAUUGUCUUCUGAGUGCAAAAUACUCUGCUCCUAAUACUUUCCAUUACUCUCUGCUGCUGGAACAACUAAGAUUCAGAAAACAUCCUUCUGUGCCUCUCCCGUCUGGCUGUUGUAUUUCUAUCCUGAUUUUAAUACAAAAUCGUUCGGGCCCUCUAAAAAGCUACUACUGCUGCAAGGGAUUUUAUGGCCUGGAAAAAUAUCUGCAUCGCCAUCUUCUACAACAACGUAUAAAAGCUCACAGCUCCUGAAGCUCUUCGAGACUAUGGAAACAGAAGAAUUAGAAUAAAAACACUGGUGGUGAUUAAUUAUGCCUGGAUUAACAAAAUGCCAGCCUUUGCUAAUUGUUCUGGGAGCCAUGAGGAAAGGAAUCAGCAUUGCCCUGCUGGAAGUGGCUCGGUCGCUGCAGCCCUCAAAAGCCCGGAGGAAGAAGAGGAGGAGGCGGAGGAAGCCAGGGCUGAGAAAGUGCCAUUUUCUCUGCUGGCAGCCACUCCCAGGGAAAUGCCAGGGCUCUGCCUCAGCAGUUUGAAGUCGCAUACUUGAGUUUUAGACUUUUUUGCUUUAAUGCUGCAGCUGCCCAGCGCCACGGGUUGUCUGAGACUCCAACCUAUCCUGAUUCCUCAGAACAAGAUCCAAAAGCUUUUCUUUGGAUGGUACUCAUGGAGAAAGUGAUGGUGCUAAUGGUAAAAUAUAGCAAUUUUAAAUCAUCAACCCCAAGCCAUUCAGUAACCUUCCCAUUCGCACGACUGUGUGCUAUGCUUAUGUAGUAUCAUACUUAAUUGCAAAUGUUACCGUGGUGUUGCCUGAACAUUUCGCUUCCCAUAAUAACUCAGUGAGCCAUGGCAAGAGAGAAUUGUGCCCCAGGCUCAGCAGAAAAUACAGCAUAUACCCCCAUGCUGCAAAACAGCUCUUUUCCAACCUGAUCCUUGGCAGAACCCCUGGUUACACGUGGUUCGACCCCAUGCUGCUGAAGCUGUUCUUUCACUUCUGAGUACACUCUCAUCUGAUGUCAAUUCAUAAAGCUCCACAAAUUACGCCUAUUCACACUUGGAACCCACUACUCCUGUGUUGAAGUACUAAGUUAUUGUUUAUUAGCUGAAUGGAUAUUAGGUGCACGUGUGUACGGUUUUUCAUUUCAGAUGAAGGAAAAAAAAAAGUAAAAGUAAGAAUCCAAAGAGUGCCCAUAAGCCAUGAAGAGCUUGGAUUGAAUGACAAACACGGGGACAAGGCAAGGUGGUGUGAUUUGCUGAGAGGAGGGAGCCCUGGGUUGUCUCCUGGGUGCUGCAGAGUCAGAGAGAAGUAAUUUCCCACUUGCACUUGGAUGUGGCAAUUGCCACCCGGGGUGUGACUCCAUUCCAUUCCCUUUGGGAACAGAGCCCUCUGUGAGCAGCUCCGGCACCCCACCUACUACUCUGGGGUCCCGAUGCUGGGGACACAGGGCAUUUCCAGUGUAAUAUAAAUCAUCAGAUGAAAGAGGGGAUUUAAAUCCAAUUUCUUUUGUGGUUGGUACUUCAAAAUACUUUAUAAGUCAUAUCAAGAGGAUUUUUAAAAAUCUUUCUUUAUGAGUUGCUUUCUUUUCCAGAAUAGUAUCCUUGGAAAUGACCCACUGGUUAAAAACAAAGCAAUAAUAAAUCCCUGUGAAAAACAGUGACUUGAAUUUCCAUGAAUGUCAUUACCUUCACCAGCCUGCACUGUGUUUGUGUGGCCCAGCGGAGAAGAUGGAACAGUUGAACAGACGACUGGCAGCAUUGAGAUUAUACAAAGAGACCAUCAAACGUCAUCCAGACUGCUGCUAAGUACGUUUGUCUGCAUAUCAUGCUCAAGCAAAACACUUGCAACGUGAAUUCAGGUCUGUGCCAGGUCACGAUGCUACAGUCCAGAGCCACACGAUCCAGCAAGACAGAGCCACAAUGCAAGAGCGAAAUCAGUAGGAAGAAAAAGCCCCAGAGGAAACAACUCACCCCAACACUCAGUGACAGUAUGUUCAGGCAGCUGCCUGUGUUUUUACCCCAUUACACGCUAGAUGAUGUGACUAUUAUUUGCAUAUAGAUAUUUGCACCCCAGCUGUGCUGGCAGAUUUUGUUUUUCCAGGUGCCAGGCAGCACUUAGACUAAGUGGACUUGAGGCUUGCUGCCAUGUCACUCUCAUCAGACCAAACACAUUAUUUUUUAAAUGCCUGUGAGAGGUGACCUAGAGCCUUUGGCAUGUCCUCAGGGAAGCAUCAGCCAUGGUAACUCAGAGCAGCUUUUUUAAAUCAUUACUGGAGGGGACUGUGAGGCUUUUAUUCACAAACUAGUAGGGUUUGCCAUAUGGGAGCUCAGUCUUUCAUCCUGGCAUAAUGAACUAGGGGACCUGGGCAGCAACUGGAAGAGUGAAAAAAUACUUGAGAUGCUUGGAAACAUCUGUCUGUCCUCAGUUUUCUUACCCUUACCUUUGUAGAGAUGUGGGACAGGCCUACGUGCCAGGAGGCAUAGAAGCACUGCUGUAGGUUUUGAAGGUACUUUCCAAGCUGCCCUCAUACUUCUGCACAUGGUCCUGCCAUUUUAUUAAAUUCUUCUGAAGUUGCUCCUGACCUAAACUAAGUAUUUUCCUAUCGACAUCAACUUUUGCCACUUCACUAUUCACCCCCAGGUUAUUAAUAAAGCAUUAAACAAUAUUGGUCUGAGUCCUGCUCUCUAGGGCACCUCAUUAUUAAUCUCUUUCCCUAGCAGAAUUGGCCAUUUAUUCAUACUAAUUUAUAACCAGAUUUUAAUCCAUGACAGGACUUUACCUUUCACUUUAUGGUUACCAAGUUUCCUUAACAAUUUUUUGUGUGGGUGUUUAUCAAAAGGUUUGUGAAUGUCCAAAUAAAUUAUAUCCUCUGGUUGUUCUUUACCCACUAUUUUAUUAACUCUCAAAAGUGUAUAAAGUCUGACUGGCAAGAUUUAUUCUUAUAGCAGCUAGGUUACUUUUUUCUUUGCUUGAGACUUGAUAUCUCCCUGCAGAUUGUAAAAUAUUUUGAGCAGUGACCCUCUGAAUCUUGUGGCUUGAGGCACUACCAGAUAUGUUGUCAAUGUUUAAUUAAAAAUAAAAGCGAAUGUAAUAUA